GGAUUAGAUACCCUCGUAGUCCACACCGUAAACGAUGAAUGCUAGUUGUCAGGCAGCAUGCUGUUUGGUGACGCAGCUAACGCAUUAAGCAUUCCGCCUGGGGAGUACGGCCGCAAGGUUAAAACUCAAAGAAAUUGACGGGGGCCCGCACAAGCGGUGGAGCAUGUGGUUUAAUUCGAAGCAACGCGCAGAACCUUACCUGCUCUUGACAUCCUCAUCGCGGUUACCAGAGAUGGUUUCCUUCAGUUCGGCUGGAUGAGUGACAGGUGCUGCAUGGCUGUCGUCAGCUCGUGCUG
rnacentral:rRNA from 1 species